rnacentral:rRNA from 1 species
UUGGAGGGCAAGUCUGGUGCCAGCAGCCGCGGUAAUUCCGGCUCCAAUAGCGUAUAUUAAAGUUGUUGCAGUUAAAAAGCUCGUAGUUGAAUUUCGGGACCAGUAUGUUGGUCGUGCUUCGGUACGUGCUGUCAUUACUGGUUUCUACCUUCUGAAGAACCUUGAUGUCAUUAAUUUGGUGUCUUGGGGAAUCAGGACUGUUACUUUGAAAAAAUUAGAGUGUUUAAAGCAAGCAUACGCUUGAAUACAUUAGCAUGGAAUAAUGAAAUAGGACGUUCGAUUCUAUUUUGUUGGUUUCUAGGAUCGACGUAAUGAUUAAUAGGGAUAGUUGGGGGCAUUAGUAUUCAAUUGUCAGAGGUGAAAUUCUUGGAUUUAUUGAAGACUAACUACUGCGAAAGCAUUUGCCAAGGAUGUUUUCAUUAAUCAAGAACGAAAGUUAGGGGAUCGAAGACAAUCAGAUACCGUCGUAGUCUUAACCAUAAACUAUGCCAACUAGGGAUCGGAUGAUGUUAUUUUUAAUGACUCAUUCGGCGCCUUACGGGAAACCAAAGUGUUUGGGUUC